rnacentral:rRNA from 1 species
UACGUAGGGACCAAGCGUUGUUCGGAUUUACUGGGCGUAAAGGGCGCGUAGGCGGCAAAUUAAGUCAUCUGUGAAAUCUCCGAGCUUAACUCGGAACGGUCAGGUGAUACUGAUCUGCUAGAGUGCGGAAGGGGCAAUCGGAAUUCUUGGUGUAGCGGUGAAAUGCGUAGAUAUCAGGAGGAACACCGGUGGCGAAGGCGGUGCUCUGGGCCGAAACUGACGCUGAGGAGCGAAAGCGUGGGUAGCAAACAGG